UUUUAACCAGUACAUUAACGCAUUUAAUUUAAUGUGAUUGUGAACGACACACCCGAUAUACCUACCUACCAAAAUAUGUAUUGGAAAGCCAUAAGUUUGAACACUUAACAGUUGUCCGAAAUCGGAUUACGAACGUCCGCGGCCGAGCCACGCGUGUCCCGCCCGUGAGGCGUACUUCCCAUCACUGCGGGCGCGAAUUGGCGCGAAACUGUGGCGACGACGGAUCCCGCCCUACGCCCUGCGCCUAGCACUUGUUGCGACUUGCGACCGCCACCACCUGCCCUUGAAAUAGGAGUCAGGUUCACGUUGCCCACGCUACACCGAGAAUAAUGUUAUUGCUCAUUUAAUUUAAUUAACUGUGUAUAGCUACUACACUGCCCUUAAAUAAAGGUCUAGAAGAGAUGCAGCUCAAUUCAAAAGCUUUUCACGUAAAACCUAAACUAAUUAUGAUAAUAUCAUUAUCAGUUUUGGUUAAAAAGCAACUCCGCGUGCCUGCUUGCGUUGGAUUUGAAGUCUACUUAAGAGGCUGACAGCACCCAAAACAAAAUACGUACGAAAGAGAAGCCUGGUGGCGCCGUUCGUAACAUAAUAUAAAUAAAUAGCUUUAAAAUGAGUUGAUUAAUCAAAUAGUAGAGUAAAUUGUAUUU